GACGGAUGGCGCAAGCGAUGUUCGGAAUUACUGGGCGUAAAGCGCGUGUAGGCGGCCAGGUAAGUCGGAUGUGAAAUCCCCGGGCCCAACCCCGGAACUGCACACGAUACUGCCUGGCUGGAGUCCCGGAGAGGAUGGCGGAAUUUCCGGUGUAGAGGUGAAAUUCGUAGAUAGCGGAAGGAACACCAGUGGCGAAGGCGGCAAUCUGGACGGUGACUGACGCUGAGACGCGAAAGCGUGGGGAGCAAACAGG
rnacentral:rRNA from 1 species